GGGCCUACGGGAGGCAGCAGUGGGGAAUAUUGCACAAUGGGGGAAACCCUGAUGCAGCGACGCCGCGUGAGUGAAGAAGUAAUUCGUUAUGUAAAGCUCUAUCAGCAGGGAAGAAACAGACGGUACCUGAGUAAGAAGCCCCGGCUAACUACGUGCCAGCAGCCGCGGUAAUACGGAGGAUGCGAGCGUUAUCCGGAUUUAUUGGGUUUAAAGGGUGCGUAGGCGGGCUGUUAAGUCAGCGGUCAAAUGUCGGGGCUCAACCCCGGCCUGCCGUUGAAACUGGCGGCCUCGAGGGGGCGAG
rnacentral:rRNA from 1 species